rnacentral:lncRNA from 1 species
CUCUCAGUUUCGGUCCUUGUUAGGGAUUGCCUCAAGUUUUCAACUUCUUCCUCUAGUUCUAUUUUUCUCAGCACCAUAUCCCGGUACAUCUGAUGGAACCACCGACUCUCACCCUCCGACUCUCGAAGCCUCUUCCUCAAGACCUCGGACUCUACCUCGACAUCUUUGACCACCUACUGCUUGUGGACUAGCUGAAUCUUCAGCCGCUGCAGUUCGGCCUCCCCCUGUCCAAGGGCCACAGACAGUUCUGCCAUGGUCUCCCUCAAGGAGCAGAGCUCAUCGGAGCCUCGUGCAGAGGUAGGC